UGCAACAGCCCUUGUCUCCCUCCGCCCUUGGUUCCUUCUCACCCAUCUCACCACCAUCUGCCCAGGGGAGCCACAUGUCCCAAAUUUUGGAGAGAAAAUAAUUGAGGCUCAUUUCCAGGACAGAGGGGCAAGCUGGGUCUAAAGAGCCAAGCAGAAAGGCUUCCCAAAAUCGCUAGGUUGGGAGGGGUCAGAGACGUGUGGCUGCCCCAGCUGUUCUGACUCUGCCCCAGCUUUUGGCUCCACCCCCUUAAAGCACCUUCAGAGGUUCCCAUGGCGACAGUAAACAAGUCUCCACUGCCUUGGCCAUGUGCUGUGUUCACCCCACUCCUGAUCUUGUUGGCUGCUCAGGGGCUGACAGCCCAGAUGUGCAGCUGUGAUGAGCAGAAACAGGGAGGAAUGGAGCCCCCAGCCAUUGUCAUCACUUCCUCAAGCUGUCUAAAUUCUGCCCAGCAGUCUGUGAAAAUGUUGUGCUGAUGACAUAUUAAGUCAUGUAUCCGUUAAAAGAAUAUCUGGAAACCUCCAAAAGGAAGCCAAGCAUAGACUAUUUGGAAGAACUUGAAGGAGCGAGAGCUGACCCCAUCUUUGUACACUGGCAGCACAAGGACAACAAUCAACACGGAAGACUUCUGUGACCAAAUGUGUGCACGUUUCUCUCCAUACACCAAGCAAGCAAUCUAUUCUGCAGCAGACACCAACUGGAAGUCCUCCAAUUCAAUUCAAUUCUGACACUGUCUACCUGGAAAUGGCCUCAGCAACCACAGGUUGAGAGCUCAGUCCCACAAGAACACCUCCUCCUUCCAACCAGUUGAAACUCCACACCUCCAGAACUUCUCACUGACUGGCUUCGAGUUGAGAAAAACAUCAAAAUGUUGUACAAAUUUGUAAGGAUUUGAUAAUAAAUUUUGGCAGAUGUCCAAUAUCAAGAUCACCAACCACUUCAUUAAUAAUUGUUGUUAAGUCAUGGAACUUGUCUGCAGAAAUUGUAUUCUUCCAAGCUUCUAACUGAGGAUUUUGCCCUUCAACCUUAUCUGCUGUGAAAAGACAUGUUUUUUUUUGCAAAGCAAUAUUAAGAUAAUUGAAAUAUCCAAAAUACUAGACAAAUGAGAAAGAUUCGUUGUCCAAUUUCAUCUUAAAGUCAAUAUCAAAUUGGUUGCUUACCUU
rnacentral:lncRNA from 1 species